rnacentral:rRNA from 1 species
GUAGGAUAGAAAGUUACUUCGGUACAUCGGUGACAGGUGGUGCAUGGUUGUCGUCAGCUCGUGUCGUGAGAUGUUGGGUUAAGUCCCGCAACGAGCGCAACCCCUAUUGUUAGUUGCCAUCAUUCAGUUGGGCACUCUAGCGAGACUGCCGGUAAUAAACCGGAGGAAGGUGGGAUGACGUCAAAUCAUCAUGCCCCUUAUGACCUGGGCUACACACGUGCUACAAUGGUUGGUACAACGAGUUGCGAGUCGGUGACGGCGAGCUAAUCUCUUAAAGCCAAUCUCAGUUCGGAUUGUAGGCUGCAACUCGCCUACAUGAAGUCGGAAUCGCUAGUAAUCGCGGAUCAGCACGCCGCGGUGAAUACGUUCCCGGGCCUU